rnacentral:lncRNA from 1 species
AAGUGGAGCUUGCCAAAGAGCACCAGCUAUGUUGGUAACAGUGGAAUUUGUGCCUGCCUUAUUUUACCCAAGGUUGCUGCUAGAGGAAGCGAAUAUGCAAAGAAGGAAGAUUUUUAAAGUAUCCUCUCAUUCAUUAAUUCCAGUUUCUUAGAAGAGUAUAAAAGAAGACAAGUGGAAAUUUACUGGCAAAAAUAAAGUGUACUAAACUUCAUUGACCUCAUGGGAAGCAACGGUGCUUUUCCAAUCUUCCACUUUCAAGAUUCUAAGAAAUCAUGUCCAAUUUAAUUACAGGAAAGAGAUAAAAAAAAACCAUUAAGAUUGGGAGUUUCAUUGAAGGGGAGGUUCAUUAAAAAAUCCAGAUUAAUGUGAAAAUAAUUCACCAAUUCAAUUACCUGGGAAAACGAAGAUGGGAGCUUCUAGUGUUAUUGAUGACAAUAAUGGAAAGGAGAAAGGGAACAAAGAGUUCAAUUGAGUGUAUGUGAAGAGACAAUGCUGUGCUUAAAUGAAAGCAAAGGUCAGAGGCCAGGUUUUCCUAAAGACAUAGAGAUUUUCUAAAGUAUUUACUGGAAGAGAAACUCAACCCAGAAGGGUAAGCUAACAUCUUUCAUGAAAGCGAAGCAACUAUUAAUCCAAGGUUAUGCAACUCUAUAAAAUAUAUUAAAUAGUC